GAUUGAACGCUGGCGGCAUGCUUUACACAUGCAAGUCGAACGGCAGCGCGGGCUUCGGCCUGGCGGCGAGUGGCGAACGGGUGAGUAAUGCAUCGGAACGUGCCCAGUAGUGGGGGAUAGCCCGGCGAAAGCCGGAUUAAUACCGCAUACGACCUGAGGGUGAAAGCGGGGGACCGAAAGGCCUCGCGCUAUUGGAGCGGCCGAUGUCGGAUUAGCUAGUUGGUGGGGUAAAGGCUUACCAAGGCGACGAUCCGUAGCUGGUCUGAGAGGACGACCAGCCACACUGGGACUGAGACACGGCCCAGACUCCUACGGGAGGCAGCAGUGGGGAAUUUUGGACAAAGGGGGCAACCCUGAUCCAGCCAUGCCGCGUGCGGGAAGAAGGCCUUCGGGUUGUAAACCGCUUUUGUUCGGGAAGAAAUCCUCUGGGCUAAUACCCCGGGGGGAUGACGGUACCGGAAGAAUAAGCACCGGCUAACUACGUG
rnacentral:rRNA from 1 species